rnacentral:rRNA from 1 species
AACCAUGCAAGUCGAGCGGAUGAGAGGAGCUUGCUCCUCGAUUCAGCGGCGGACGGGUGAGUAAUGCCUAGGAAUCUGCCUAGUAGUGGGGGACAACGUUUCCAAAGGAACGCUAAUACCGCAUACGUCCUACGGGAGAAAGUGGGGGAUCUUCGGACCUCACGCUAUUAGAUGAGCCUAGGUCGGAUUACCUAGUUGGUAGGGUAAAGGCCUACCAAGGCGACGAUCCGUAACUGGUCUGAGAGGAUGAUCAGUCACACUGGAACUGAGACACGGUCCAGACUCCUACGGGAGGCAGCAGUGGGGAAUAUUGGACAAUGGGCGAAAGCCUGAUCCAGCCAUGCCGCGUGUGUGAAGAAGGCCUUCGGGUCGUAAAGCACUUUAAGUUGGGAGGAAGGGCUCAUAGCGAAUACCUGUGAGUUUUGACGUUACCAACAGAAUAAGCACCGGCUAACUUCGUGCCAGCAGCCGCGGUAAUACGAAGGGUGCAAGCGUUAAUCGGAAUUACUGGGCGUAAAGCGCGCGUAGGUGGCUUGAUAAGUUGGAUGUGAAAUCCCCGGGCUCAACCUGGGAACUGCAUCCAAAACUGUCUGGCUAGAGUGCGGUAGAGGGUAGUGGAAUUUCCAGUGUAGCGGUGAAA